rnacentral:misc_RNA from 1 species
GGGCACACAAAUUGCAGAUUCUCAUUGACCUCUCGCCUGUUGUAUGGCCGCCACGCCAUUGAUGGAAGCGAAAGAAUUUAUUGAGCUCUUUGAUUCAUGCUGGUUUGAGAUGGAAUUCUUUAAGAAACAAUCACGUUUGUCAAAAUCAUCAGGUGUUGAUGCCAACCCAGAUCACCAAAAUGAGGAAGAAUCACCAAAACCAGAGCUUUCCAGGGUCCCAACAAUCAUUUCAAGGUGUAUGAGUGAUCAGUUGUUGCUGCCCAAAGCAAGCGUCGGCUCUGGUCUAUCUCUCUCUCCGGACUCAGUCCUCCUCACGCCGAAACUCCAUACCGUCCUUUCAGGCAAAGAAAUCGCAGAAGAAGAGGGAGAAAAUUCGAUAUCGAUACAGAAACGGAGAGUAUAUGUUCAAGAUUCACCUAAAAAGAAGGCGAGAAGCAGGAGAAGAGGGAUGAAAACUUUGAGCAAGAGUUUGUCAGAAUUGGAAUUUGAAGAGCUAAAAGGGUUUAUGGAUUUGGGUUUUGUUUUUUCUGAGGAAGACAAGGAUUCAAGUUUGGUUUCAAUAAUUCCAGGGUUGCAAAGAUUGGGAAAGAAAGAUGGGGAAGAAGAGAGUGGUGUUGAUGAGGCCACAGUUUCGAGGCCUUAUCUUUCUGAAGCAUGGAAUAGUUUGGAUAGGAGAAAGAAAGAGGAUCCACUUAUGAAUUGGAGAUUUCCUGCUUCGAGUAAUGAGAUGGACAUGAAAGAUAAUCUUAAAUGGUGGGCUCAAACUGUUGCAUCUACUGUUAGAUAACAGAGAUUUCAGAUUCAGGGUUCACAGUUUUGUUAUUUAAUCAGAUUUUUCUUUUUUUUUGUUUAGGCAAAUGUUGUGAUAUGAUUUUGGUUGUUAUUUUCUUCAGCAAUCCUACAGCUUGUAAUUGUAAAUAAAAGUAGGUUGCAUCUCAUUUCACUUGUUUUCGAGUUGAUAUGUUUUUCUGCACAUAUGGUUGUGAAAUAUCCUACGAGUUUUGGAAUAACCGUCUCUCCAGAAAUAUCUCAAGAACUAGUUUGAAGAGUGA